CUCAGGACGAAUUUAAUUUUGGUUCUGAUUGAACGUUUUUCAGUAGUUUUAAGACAUGCUAAUCGUUAUUCUUAGAAGUUAUAUGUUAAAUAUCUAAAUAGUAGCUAAAUUUAAUCUAAUAGCAAUAAGAAUAAGGUGUAAAGGUGAGUAUAGUAAAUCAGAUACCUUAUAGUCUCCUUAAUUCGGAGAUAUUUUUAUUUCUAAAAUAAUACCAUUUUACUAUUUAUGGUUGCAAUCUUAUCUUAAUCUAAAUUUAUUUUAUUUAUCGAAAGAUAAGUAAGUAAAAUUAUUUAAGAAAGAGUUAAGGAUACUUAUUAGAAAAAACAAAACUUCCUUCGGGUUUUUAACUCCUUCGUAAGGUUAACUUAUGAGGCUAUUUUAAAUUCAAUUUAAGAGGGAGGGAGGUUAAGUAUAAAUAAGGAAAAGUAAAAAGGUAAUUUAGCUAAUUAUCAAUAAAGGAAAGUUUCUGCUAUAAGAUUCGAUUUAUUUUGUUUAAAGGUAGUUGGUAGGGUAAAGGCCUACCAAGCCUACGAUCAAAAGCCAAGUUUGAUAGAACAAAUGGCCACAUUGGGAAUGAAAUGCCCCAAGUAGUUUUAACUACCAGCAGUCAAGAAUAUUAGUCAAUGCUCGCAAGAGUGAACUAGCUAACUGAAAUCACAAGCAACAUACAUGUGUUAAUUGUGAUAAUGUAAGGGAAAAAACUGAUAUUACCUUACUAUAAGUGUUGUCCAAAACUGGUGCCAGAAGACUCGGUAAGACCAGAAACGCAAACGUUAAUCGUCUUAAUCAGGCGUAAAGGGUUUGUAGGCUGCUUUUACUAUUUCUAAGUAAAAUAGCUCUGAUUUAAUCAGUUACAUAGAAAUACAAUAAAAGCUAGAAUCUAAUAGAGGAUAAGACAAAUAAUACUUAGAGUAGGGAUGAUAUCCAUAGAUACUAAGGGGAAUACUAAAGGUGAAAGCUUUUAUCUACUAAAGAUUGACGCUGAGAAACGAAGGUGAGAAUAGGAAAUAGGAUUAGAUACCCAGAUACCUCUCACAGUCAACGAUGAAUGGUGGUUUGUUAGUUUUAAUAAAAACUGAUAACGAUGCUAACGCGAUAACCAUUCCGCCUUGCGAGUACGGUUGCAAAACUGAAACCAAAAAAAUUAGUCGGUCUCGAAGCAAACGAAGUGGAGCAUGUUAUUUAAUACGAUAGUACGCGUAAAACCUUACCAGUUCUUGCAUAUCCAUUCCGUCUUCAAAGUUAGUUAUAACUUAGUAGCGGAAUGAGUAGUAUUCUAAUUACAUUUUAUUAGAAUAUUCGUUUACAGGUGUUGCAUGGCUGUCGUCAGUCCGUGUUUUGAGAAGUUAGGUUAACUCCGCUAACGGACGCAAUCCCUGUUGUUAAUUUAUACUUAACAAUUUAUGAAUUUUAUAUAUUUUCAUUUGGGGCUAAGACAAGUCGUUAUGAUCCUCAUGAACUGGGCUAUAGACGUGCUACAAAAACUUUUACAAAGUGAAGCAAAACCAGAGCCUUGAACUACCUCUCAUAAAGAGGAAAGUUAAUAUUUUAAUUAAAAUUUAAAUAAUAGGGUCAUAAGGAAGAGCUAAUCAUUAAAGAAAGUUAAAUAAUUAAAUUAUAAACGGAUUGUUACCUGUAACUCGGUAACAUGAAGAAGGAAUUUCGAGUAAUCGUUGAUCACUACGCAACGGUGAAGAUGGAAUUCGGGAUGAACUAACUGUCUGUCGCUGGGAAGGAGCUUAAAUUGAGGGAAACUGCCACGAUAUUACACCUUAAACAAAGGCAUACACUUAAUAAUAAUAUCUGCAAAAUAUUAUUAAAAUUUAAUCUGUUAUAGGAUUAAAAUUAAGGGUAGUUUAGUUGCUAUUUUUAAUAUUUUUAUAUUGUAAAUUUGUCUUUUAUUUAAAAAACACCUUUGUUAAGCUAAUUAGUAUCAGUUAACUUAAUUAAGUAACAUUUCAAAAGUCAUAGCAGGGUAGUGGUACUGGAAAGUGCUGCUGGAAAAUAAAAAAU
rnacentral:rRNA from 1 species